UACGAAGGGGGCUAGCGUUGCUCGGAAUUACUGGGCGUAAAGGGCGCGUAGGCGGCCGUUUAAGUCGGGGGUGAAAGCCCGGGGCUCAACCUCGGAAUUGCCUUCGAUACUGGACGUCUUGAGUACGGGAGAGGUGAGUGGAACUCCGAGUGUAGAGGUGAAAUUCGUAGAUAUUCGGAAGAACACCAGUGGCGAAGGCGACUCACCGGCCCGUUACUGACGCUGAGGCGCGAAAGCGUGGGGAGCAAACAGG
rnacentral:rRNA from 1 species